rnacentral:rRNA from 1 species
UACAGGGGGUGCAAACGUUGCUCGGAAUCAUUGGGCGUAAAGCGCACGUAGGCGGUUUGUUAUGUCGGAUGUGAAAGCCCUUGGCUCAACUGAGGAAGUGCAUCCGAAACUGGCAAGCUAGAGUACUAAAGAGGAUCGCGGAAUUCCCGGUGUAGAGGUGAAAUUCGUAGAUAUCGGGAGGAACACCGGUGGCGAAGGCGGCUAUCUGGACCGACAUUGACGCUGAGGCGCGAAAGCGUGGGGAGCAAACAGG